AGAUAUGAAGGUGUGAAAAGUACCCUGAGUUGCUUCCAGAAAAGGAUGUUACGGCGGUGCUGCUCGACUUGGCGGCGGCACUGCCGUGCCUCCAGAUUCCUGAUAGCUUUAGUCUCUAACUUUAAAUGCAUAUUUCAAUAUAAAAUAAAUUUAUAUUGCAUGGUGCUAGUUGGUUAUCAAAAUUGCAAGGCAUUAGUUUUUCCACAAAAUUUGCUUUAUACAAUACUGUAUUUUAUAAUAUCCAAAUUUAAAAAGUCAAUAUAUCUAUUAAAAAAUAGUCCUAAUCAGUAUUUUUUUUUUAUAAUUAAAUGUGUAUAAUUAUAUAUUACAUACAAUAUACAUUUAUAGUAAUUUCAAAAUAGUGAAUGCUGUGAACGAGGACAGCUUAGUUUUUGUCAAUAACCGUAGACCUAUAGUAUAUCACCAGGAAUAAUGUCAAAAGGAAUAAUUUCAAAUAUUUUGAUGUUCAUUUGAUUUGCUUUAAAAAUUACUCAGAAAAUCUUAUUUAAAACAUUUAAAUAAUACCAUCUAAAU
rnacentral:lncRNA from 1 species